AACCUGCGGAAGGAUCAUUAUCGAGUUUUGAAAAGGGUUGUAGCUGGCCUUCGGCAACAAGUCGGAGGCAUGUGCACGCCUGGCUCAUCCACUCUCAAACCCCUGUGCACCUUUUGUAGGCUUCGGCAGAGAGGACUGACUUCGGUCGGUUCAGGAAGCCUUGUGCCUAUGUCACACAUACAAACGCUUCAGUUUAGAAUGUAACGAAUCGUGCGCCUCGGUGCAACGAAAUAAAUACAACUUUCAGCAACGGAUCUCUUGGCUCUCGCAUCGAUGAAGAACGCAGCGAAAUGCGAUAAGUAAUGUGAAUUGCAGAAUUCAGUGAAUCAUCGAAUCUUUGAACGCACCUUGCGCUCCUUGGUAUUCCGAGGAGCAUGCCUGUUUGAGUGUCAUGAAAUUCUCAACCUUUGAAGCUUUUUUUUGAGCUCGCAAAGGCUUGGACUUGGAGGUCGUGUCGGCUCGUAACAAAGUCGACUCCUCUGAAAUGCAUUAGUGUGAAACCUUCGCAGGAUCGCCUUCGGUGUGAUAAUUGUCUACGCCGUCGGUCGUGAAAGUCGAAACAUACGUGUUCACGCUUCUAAUCGUCCGUCGAGGACAAACUUUUUUCUUGACCAUCUGACCUCAAAUCAGGUAGGACUACCCGCUGAACUUAAGCAUAUCAAUAA
rnacentral:rRNA from 1 species